rnacentral:rRNA from 1 species
CUACGGGCCGCUCCAGUGAGGAAUAUUGCACAAUGGGGGGAACCCUGAUGCAGCAACGCCGCGUGGAGGAUGACGCAUUUCGGUGUGUAAACUCCUUUUAUAUGUCAAGAAAAUGACGGUAGCAUAUGAAUAAGCACCGGCUAACUCCGUGCCAGCAGCCGCGGUAAUACGGAGGGUGCAAGCGUGUACUCGGAAUCACUGGGCGUAAAGGACGCGUAGGCGGGUUGGAAAGUCAGGUGUGAAAUCCUACAGCUUAACUGUAGAACUGCACUUGAAACUUCUAAUCUAGAGUAUGGGGGGGGAGAUGGAAUUAGUGGUGUAGGGGUAAAAUCCGUAGAUAUCACUAGGAAUACCUAAAGCGAAGGCGAUCUCCUGGAACAUUACUGACGCUAAGGCGUGAAAGCGUGGGGAGCAAACAGGAUUAGAUACCCCCGUAGUC